rnacentral:rRNA from 1 species
CCUACGGGUGGCAGCAGUGGGGAAUAUUGCACAAUGGGCGCAAGCCUGACCCAGCAACGCCGCGUGAAUGAAGAAGGCUUUCGGGUUGUAAACUUCUUUUCUCAGGGACGAAGAAAGUGACGGUACCUCAGGAAUAAGCCACGGCUAACUACGUGCCAGCAGCCGCGGUACUACGUAGGUGGCAAGCGUUAUCCGGAUUUAGUGGGUGUAAAGGGCGUGUAGGCGGGAAAGCAAGUCAGAUGUGAAAACUCAGGGCUCAACCCUGAGACUGCAUUUGAAACUGGUUUUCUUGAGUGCUGGAGAGGCAAGCGGAAUUCCGUGUGUAGCGGUGAAAUGCGUAGAGAUACGGAGGAACACCAGUGGCGAAGGCGGAUUGCUGGACAGUAACUGACGCUGAGGCGCGAAAGCGUGGGGAGCAAACAGGAUUAGAUACCCCGGUAGUC